rnacentral:lncRNA from 1 species
GGCCUGAGUGGGCUCGGGUGGGAGGCGCCUUCACAGCACUCAGACCAGGCUUCCCCCAGGCUUGUGGGUGGUACAUCCACAGCCUUGCUUGGGUGGGGCAGGGGCGCUGGUGGGGGCUGUGGAGAGGCUGCCUGGGGCCCCUGGCACAGGGCUGGACCCAUCCCGUAUGCCAGCCACCCAAGGCACCUUAGCCCUUGGAGCUCAGGGUGAGGCUGUUUUCCCGUGGAUCAGCCAGGGGCAGAGGCCAGCCUUGGUGCUGAUGCCCAGGAGGAGGAAUGGCCAGUGGGCCCAUGCCAGGCCUCCUCCCUGUGUCUCAUGGGGACACUGAAGCCCAUGGCAGGAGCUGGCUCUUCGCCACAGCUGUGUGGCCCAGACCCCUCCCUACAGAAAGGAUCUGGGGUGACCACAGGCAAAACCCUGCCUCGAGGGGCCCCCACAGCAGCGCCUGGCAGCCCCACAGGGGCCGCAGCUGAGCGGCAGCUUCACCACAUUGUGGCCUCAGGCCCUGCUGGCUCCACAGCUCCACACCCUCGUGGGUCGCAGCAGCUGAGCUGGUCAGCACAGCACACCUCAUCCUGCUCCCCGGAAUGCCUGCCUGGCCCGUGCCCCCCCUGCUGCAGCCCUCCAGGGCAGCUGUGCGGAGGGUAGUGGCAGCCAUGAACCGGAUGGA